rnacentral:rRNA from 1 species
GAUGAACGCUGGCGGCGUGCCUAAUACAUGCAAGUCGAGCGAACAGACGAGGAGCUUGCUCCUCUGACGUUAGCGGCGGACGGGUGAGUAACACGUGGAUAACCUACCUAUAAGACUGGGAUAACUUCGGGAAACCGGAGCUAAUACCGGAUAAUAUAUUGAACCGCAUGGUUCAAUAGUGAAAGACGGUUUUGCUGUCACUUAUAGAUGGAUCCGCGCCGCAUUAGCUAGUUGGUAAGGUAACGGCUUACCAAGGCAACGAUGCGUAGCCGACCUGAGAGGGGGAUCGGCCACACUGGAACUGAGACACGGUCCAGACUCCUACGGGAGGCAGCAGUAGGGAAUCUUCCGCAAUGGGCGAAAGCCUGACGGAGCAACGCCACGUGAGUGAUGAAGGUCUUCGGAUCGUAAAACUCUGUUAUUAGGGAAGAACAAAUGUGUAAGUAACUAUGCACGUCUUGACGGUACCUAAUCAGAAAGCCACGGCUAACUACGUG